UACGUAGGGUGCGAGCGUUGUCCGGAAUUACUGGGCGUAAAGAGCUCGUAGGUGGUUCGGUAAGUCAGGUGUGAAACCUCCAGGCUCAACCUGGAGACGCCACUUGAUACUGCUGUGACUGGAGUCCGGUAGGGGAGCGUGGAAUUCCUGGUGUAGCGGUGAAAUGCGCAGAUAUCAGGAGGAACACCAGCGGCGAAGGCGGCGCUCUGGGCCGGUACUGACACUGAGGAGCGAAAGCGUGGGUAGCAAACAGG
rnacentral:rRNA from 1 species